UUGGCCCCAGAUCAUGGCUAGCAAUUUGCUGAAGCUGUUGCGAUUAAGCAAGAGCCUAAAGAAGUCUCUUUCUGUGGUCUUUGGCCAUUUUAGAAUUUUGUACAUGUAAUGGUCAAUUCAUUAGAGAGAAACAUGU